UACAGAGGGUGCAAGCGUUGUUCGGAAUUAUUGGGCGUAAAGCGCGUGUAGGCGGCUUUGCAAGUCGGGUGUGAAAGCCCUCAGCUCAACUGAGGAAGUGCGCCCGAAACUGCAGAGCUUGAGUACCGGAGAGGGUGGCGGAAUUCCCCAAGUAGAGGUGAAAUUCGUAGAUAUGGGGAGGAACACCGGUGGCGAAGGCGGCAUCCUGGACCGACACUGACGCUGAUGAGCGAAAGCCAGGGGAGCAAACGGG
rnacentral:rRNA from 1 species